UGCGGGGUAGAGAAGCCCGGUAUCUCGCAAGGCCCAUAACCUUGAGACCACAGGUUCAAAUCCUGUCCCCGCAA
rfam:Elusimicrobium minutum Pei191, complete genome.